rnacentral:tRNA from 10 species
ACCCCUGUAGCCCAAUUGGCAGAGGCUCUAGGCUUAGAACCUAGGUGUUGCUGGUUCAAAUCCAGUCAGGGGUA